rnacentral:rRNA from 1 species
GACGAACGCUGGCGGCGUGCCUAAUACAUGCAAGUAGAACGCAGUUGCGAACGGGUGAGUAACGCGUAGGUAACCUGCCUCAUAGCGGGGGAUAACUAUUGGAAACGAUAGCUAAUACCGCAUACUUUGAGAUGGACCGGCUGUGUAUUAGCUAGUUGGUGAGGUAAAGGCUCACCAAGGCGACGAUACAUAGCCGACCUGAGAGGGUGAUCGGCCACACUGGGACUGAGACACGGCCCAGACUCCUACGGGAGGCAGCAGUGGGGAAUAUUGGGCAAUGGGCGCAAGCCUGAUCCAGCCAUGCCGCGUGUGUGAAGAAGGCUUUCGGUUUGUAAAGUACUUUCAUCAGUGAGGCGUUACCCGCAGAAGAAGCACCGGCUAACUCCGUGCCAGCAGCCGCGGUAAUAC